rnacentral:rRNA from 1 species
CAGCCGCCGCGGUAAUACGUAGGGUGCAAGCGUUAUCCGGAAUUAUUGGGCGUAAAGAGCUCGUAGGCGGUUUGUCGCGUCUGCUGUGAAAACUGGAGGCUCAACCUCCAGCCUGCAGUGGGUACGGGCAGACUAGAGUGCGGUAGUGGAGAUUGGAAUUCCUGGUGUAGCGGUGGAAUGCGCAGAUAUCAGGAGGAACACCGAUGGCGAAGGCAGAUCUCUGGGCCGUAACUGACGCUGAGGAGCGAAAGCGUGGGGAGCGAACAGGAUUAGAUACCCCUGUAGUCCCUGUCACUUAUAC